rnacentral:rRNA from 1 species
CAGCAGCCGCGGUAAUACGGAGGGGGCUAGCGUUGUUCGGAAUUACUGGGCGUAAAGCGUACGUAGGCGGCUUUGUAAGUUAGAGGUGAAAACCUGGAGCUCAACUCCAGAAUUGCCUUUAAGACUGCAUCGCUUGAACGUCGGAGAGGUGAGUGGAAUUCCGAGUGUAGAGGUGAAAUUCGUAGAUAUUCGGAAGAACACCAGUGGCGAAGGCGGCUCACUGGACGACUGUUGACGCUGAGGUACGAAAGCGUGGGGAGCAAAUAGGAUUAGAUACCCCAGUAGUCCCUGUCUCUUAUAC